UACGGGGGGGGCAAGCGUUGUUCGGAAUUACUGGGCGUAAAGGGCGCGUAGGCGGCCUCUUAAGUCGAACGUGAAAUCCCCGGGCUCAACCCGGGAACUGCGUCCGAUACUGGGGGGCUUGAAUCCGGGAGAGGGAUGUGGAAUUCCAGGUGUAGCGGUGAAAUGCGUAGAUAUCUGGAGGAAGACCGGUGGCGAAGGCGGCCUGCUGGGCAGUUACUGACACUGAGGCGCGACAGCGUGGGGAGCAAACAGG
rnacentral:rRNA from 1 species